GUAGCCGGCCGUACGUAAUACAGGUAGUUCCUUCAAAUCAAACGACCCGGAGUAAAAAGAACGUGGUACCUCACGGCUCACAGUUCACAGUCUAAACGCUAAACAAACCGAGCUGCGACAACAAGCGCACAGAUCGAGAAAUGGCAAGUAAAACCGGAAAUGGCGACGUAAUGAUGCUGGAGGCAGCACCCGACGCAGCGCGACCAUGGGCGAGCGCUUCCAAUGCAGAGACCAUCGAUGCCCUGCCUUACAUCGACGAUGACUAUGCAAACCCUGCAGUUAAACAACAAGUCGACCGCUUAGUCGAGGAAGAGAUGCGCCGAAGCUCCAAAAAACCUUCCGAUUUUCUCAAAGAUCUUCCCCCUCUUCCCAAAUUCAAUUUCGAGGAUCACCCAAUGCUUGCUAGAGAAUAUGAGCGAGUCAGGGCUGGGAAGCCUCCAGUUUCACUUGAUACAUCUCGAUAUAUACCAGAUGCACCACCGGUGAAUAAACAGAAUGAUGAAACAGCUUGGAGGCAAGCCCUUCAAAAAGCUCAGCGCUUGCUACAGCAUCAAGAGAUAAGGCUGGAAAAUUUGGAUCUGAUGUCUAAGUAUGCUCCUGAUGUCUGGAAACACUACAACCAACGGCUUGAGGCUUCUUUAACCAGAUUGCAAGCUAUGGCUGUUGAGCAUGGUGAGAAGAUUGAAACUGUGAACAGGGAAAGAAAACAUCAACAGCAAAAUGCUGGCAGUGAGUUACAUGUUUUAUCAGCACAAUGGAGGGAGCUUUCUUUGAAGAAUAUUGAAAUUCAAGAAGCUUGUGCUAGAAUUGCAAAUCUUCUUGAAGAACUAAGGAAAGAAGCUGUUGAGAGAGGCUGGAACUUGGAUGUAAAUUUGGAGAAUGGUUCUUUGGUUCAUGUCAAACAGUGAGUUGGGCUCUUCUUGAUCCGAGUAUGCUGUGAAAUUGGCAUCACUAAAUCCUGUCAUGCUUUGCCACACAAGACAAUAACCCCAAUUUAGAGGCCUCACCUAUGGUUGGUUAACUGGGUUUAGUUGGUGCUCAAUGUGGCUUCUGAUGCGGGGAUGUGCCCCUGUAACUGUGGAGCAAGGUGAUAUUUCAGGAAUUGGUGACAUGCUUGCAUAUCAGACAAAUCUCUUCUUGCAAAAUGUGAGUUUAGGUUUAAAGGCAUGCUGCGUGUAAUUCUUGGUGUGAAUUACUUUAUCUUUUUUGUGAAUUAUUACACAUUAUGUCAUCCAAGUUUUUAAUUGAAUAUUAUCUCUUUUAGUAAUAGAUAGGAACUCUAGAUUAUUGUACAUGUAGAUAUUGCUGAAUUACAAUAGAUAUUGCGAUGGCAGUUUCUAUUCUUAUGACAGAGGAGAGAUAUGAAUAUAUGCUUGGAUUAUUGCUUUGACACA